GAGAUCCUAGUAAAAACAUUACCUUGCUUUGUCAAGGCAAGAUUGCAAGUGAAAACCUUGCGAGUCUCU
ensembl:Mt_tRNA